rnacentral:rRNA from 1 species
UACGUAGGGUGCAAGCGUUGUCCGGAAUUAUUGGGUGUAAAGAGCUCGUAGGCGGUCUGUCGCGUCUGCUGUGAAAACUCAGGGCUUAACCCUGAGCUUGCAGUGGGUACGGGCAGACUAGAGUGCGGUAGGGGAGACUGGAAUUCCUGGUGUAGCGGUGAAAUGCGCAGAUAUCAGGAGGAACACCGGUGGCGAAGGCGGGUCUCUGGGCCGUAACUGACGCUGAGGAGCGAAAGCUAGGGGAGCAAACAGG